rnacentral:pre_miRNA from 1 species
UCUUUAAAUUUCAUCCAUUUUUACUAUUAAAAAUUGGUCUAGCUGACAGAAUAACCAAACAGUUACCCAUGGUGGGUACCUCAUUCUAACAUACAUGAACAAGAUUUUAACAAUAUAAUUGAAUGAAUUUUUAACA